rnacentral:rRNA from 1 species
GACGAACUGUGCGAACGUUGUUCGGAGUCACUGGGCUUAAAGGGUGCGUAGGCGGCUCGUUAAGUCGGGGGUGAAAUACUUCGGCUCAACCGGAGAAUUGCCUUCGAUACUGGCGGGCUUGAGGAAGGUAGGGGUCGCGGGAACUGCCAGUGGAGCGGUGAAAUGCGUUGAUAUUGGCAGGAACGCCGGUGGUGAAGACGCGCGGCUGGACCUUUUCUGACGCUGAUGCACGAAAGCCAGGGGAGCAAACGGG